UUCCUAAAUAGUAAAAAAGAAGGGAAAACUUUAGAAACCUCCAUGUGGUUUCAUAUUUUCUCACUUUAGUACCAAUGGUUUAAAGUGUAUCAAUUUAGCGUCUUGUGGUUUCAUUUUUCUCUUUUUAUUAUCCAUUUUACUAUUUUUUUCUUAAAUCAGUGAUAAAGUUAAAAUUAAAGGGUAUUAAAGUGAAUAUUCGAUAAACCUUGGUGGGUAUUUGAUGUUUUUUUGUAUAUAAUUUAACGAAAUAUUAACGAAAAGGCUGUCGAAAAGAUAAAAAUAAAAUCACCUGGUACCAAAUUGAUACACUUUAAACUACAAGAUAUUAAAGUGAGAAAGUGCGAAACCACAUGAGAUUUUUUGAAGUUUUUUCAAAAAAAAAAAAAAAAAAAGCACAUGUCCUUGAUUAUUCUCUGAACCCCUACUUCCAAAUUAUUGUUUUUCACAUGUCACUCCCUGACACCAAAUGCAAAGACAUAGAAGGGACAGCUUAUGUGUAUAUUAGUGUGUGUAAUAAAGGACAUUAUCAUGUUACUUUAAUAAUUAUAAUAAUGUAAUAAUAAUACAAUAAUAACGUAGGGAGAGUACUAUAUUGGAUAAUAAUAAUAAUAAUAAUAAUGAUGAUGAUAAUGAUUUAUGAUAAUAAUAAGAAUUGAGGUUCUGAACUUUUUAAAAUAUAUAAUUAUUUAUAUUUAUAAUUUUUUAGGUGUCGAAUUGUCUUGAAAUUCAUUCAAUAUUAUUAAUAGUGUGUCCCCUUAAAUUAUCUUUGCUACUGUUAUAUGAAUUUUGAAACGAUAUGACGGCUAGGUCAAUUCUAAUAAUAAUGAUAAUAAUAAUAAUAAAAUUUGAUGCAGUUUGGCCAUUAAGAUGGUGUUUGGUUUUUCGAAAACUAUUUUAGAAAACUGGCAAAAUAUUUUUUUUCGGUUUGAUUCUCAGAAAAGUAAUAUUUUUUUAAAAAAUUAUUUUUUAAGAUUUUAUGGAAAAGUCUAUUAUUGUUUUUUAAUUUUUUCGUGACAUUUAGUUUUAACUUUGUCACUGAUUUAACGAAAAAAAAUAGUGGAUGGAAUAACAAAAAAAGAAAAAAAUAAAAUCACAGAAUACGAAAGUAAUACCAUUUAAACCAUAAUAGGGUAGUAAAGUGCGAAAGUAUGAAACUACAUGGAUGAUAUUUUAAACUUUUUCUAAUAUUUUUAUGUCAAUAUUUUUAUUUUUCCCGUUUGAACUCAAAACUUUUUCUUAUGCUCAGAGCAUAAAACUUGAUAAAUAUCAUCUCUAUUUUAAGAGUAAGAAAAAAAAAUUUGCGUCUAAUUCGAAGGAAGAACCUACUGGCAUCUGACAUUUUGAGAAGCAUUGAUGAACUAUUUGGUCGUAUGCAGUUACAACUGUAUGCAAAUUCAAAUUUUGGUUUAGUUUGAUGUAUUUGAAUUUUACUGCUACAGUUAAACUAUAUGAGGAGGCUUGAUUACAGCAGUCGGAACUACUCUCAAAUUAGUCGCUGUUCAAACUACAAAAAGUAAAUUUACCUCCCUUAUAACCUUUUAAACAAAAUAUUAGGACAAAUGAGAAAAAGAUCUAAUUUGUCAGAUCAGAAAAUACCAAAUGACAAUCGAGUAACAAAAAAGAGAAAUAAGUAUAUAAAUAUUUACGUGGUUGGAUCACUAAUUUAUGACUACGAGGAAUGGCAGAGCGGAAACUUUAAUUACAAUCAAAAUAGAGUAUAAAAGAAUACCUCUCUCAGAAAACUCUAAUCCCAAAACACAUGCAAAUUAAUUUUAGCCUAAAAAGGUAGGAAUAAUUCUAAUGUAACAAAAGCCUCAAUAGAACUAGAAAUAUUUCAAGUGAGAUUAGAAAAAAUUUCUAUACGAGUAGCAAUAAUCCCAACUUAACUAAAUAAAUUAAUCAAAACAGCAUAUAAUUAGAAAAUCUUCCAACUCCAAAAUUUGAGACACAUUUAAGACGACUAUAUAGGGACAAAUUUCAAAGCAUAAUAAAAUCCAUCAGGCGGGCAUAAAAUGAAUGAUCAAAAUUGAACGAUCUCCUAAAAAUAGAUAAUUUGAUUCUUUAAUAUAAGAUCUAAGUUAUAGAUCUCUAUCUAUACAGUCGUUUUCGAUGAUAGAGUUUUCGCAUCGACGAUCCGUAUUAUUAAAUAUGAUUUAAAGCAUUUGAAACUUUUAUCGUCCUGCAUAGGGGGUGAAUUGCAUCACUCCAUAUAUAAAUUAAUAAAAUUUUAUAAAUGUUCUUCUUUAUCGUAUAUAGCUAAACAAAUUAUUUAUAGUUACAGCAUUUUCUGCUAAAUCCAACCAAAUAAUAUGCAUAUGAUUAUAAGGGAAAACUUCAAAUACCCCCCGUGGUUUCGCACUUUUUCACUUUAGUACCCUGUAGUUUAAAGUGUAUCCAAUUAGUACCCUAUGUUUUCGCACUUUCUCACUUUAGUAUUCUGUGGUUUCACGUGUAUCAAGUUAGUACCCUGUGGUUUUAUUUUUAUAUCAAGUUAGUACUCUGUGGUUUCAUUUUUUUUUUUUUAUUAUCCAUAUCAGGAUAUAUUAAUUUAACGAAAUAUUAAACCACAGGGUACUAAAGUGAGAAAGUCAAAAAUCACAGAGUACUAACUUGAUAUACUUGAAACCACAUGAUACUAAAGUGAGAAAGUGCAAAACCACAGGGUACUAAUUUGACACACUCUAAACCACAGGAUACUAAAGUGAGAAAGUGCGAAACCACAUAAGGGGUAUUUGAAUUUUUUCCUAAUUUUAACUACUGUAUUUUCAACUGUACUGCAUUUGCUGGUGCAUCCAGGCAAGCAUC
rnacentral:lncRNA from 1 species